UUGCUUUUGAGUAAUAUCCGUAAUAUAAAAUAUUAUCCGAGAAAUUUCGGAGCUUAGAGUUCAGAACAUAUCACUACACCAUCACAACACCUCCGUCUUACAGGGAUACGAAAGUCGGUGUCUACUCGUAACGAAAAUUUUGGCAUAAUCUUGCUAAACGGCAAUUACUAUCGCGUUAUAAUAGAUACGUAAUAGAGGUGUCAUAUAUUCGGGAAGCACUAUGUACAUGUGCUGAUAUACGUGCAUCUUGCGCUGCGAACUCUUAAAAUUUUGUCGACAUUUGCGUUGACAUCCGCGAUAUUGCAGCAAAAACCAUGUUCAUGUCCACAACCUUUGACGAGCAUUAAGCCUCUUCUUUUGCUUCUAUCUUCGUAGUCUCUUCCUCCAACUCCAA